rnacentral:rRNA from 1 species
UACGUAGGUGGCAAGCGUUGUCCGGAUUUACUGGGCGUAAAGAGCGCGCAGGCGGUCGUUCAAGUCGCGUGUGAAAGCCCCCGGCUCAACUGGGGAGGGUCACGCGAUACUGAUCGACUGGAAGGCAGGAGAGGGUAGUGGAAUUCCCGGUGUAGUGGUGAAAUGCGUAGAUAUCGGGAGGAACACCAGUGGCGAAGGCGGGUCUCUGGGCCGAUAUCGACGCUGAGGAGCGAAAGCGUGGGGAGCGAACAGG